AACAAGGGAUAGAUAGCAUUAGCUAUGCUGAACAUCCUCACUACAACCCUCAAUUUCCAACACCAAAACUUGAAAAUUGAAAAAUGAAUACAAUAUAUGGGAUCUGGGAAUCAAGAGCUGAUGCAGCCUGAUAUCGGAUUAUGCUCGGGAUGUUCCAGAAGGGAGGAGCCUGUUUGGUUCUUGUAGAGUCUUCCACGCUGCAAGCAAGGAAAGAGAAGAGAGCACAUAUGAGUGAAAGUAUGAGGCUGGAUGAGAAAUGCUCAGAUGUUUCAGCAUCAUACAUACUGGAGCUGAAACAUCUAAGUGGGAUGUCAUUACAGCUCCAGGACAGGGAGGACCAGAACACACCCAUGACUGACCACAGCUGCCGGGCGAUGAUGUUAGCACACUCCACUUCAUUCAUCCUGCCCAGCUGCCCUAUGACGUACGCUGAGCCACUGGGUUCAGAGCCAGGCUCUGGAGAAUCUACUGUCACCAAAGCCUUUACCUCUCAAAGACGUAAUGUACAUACAUGUAUUUUUCAUGGUGUCACAAUUACUAGGUUUAAUAUUACUGUAUUAUCACGGGAUUGU